UUGCAGCGAAUUUGAGACUGGAUAACAACGAGUUCCCAAACAACUGUGAAAACAUGCUUGUACCUGUCUCCCUCGAGAAGCUGAAAAAGCUAACUCGUGCAAUUUCUAAUGGAAGUAAUAAACCAGACCCAACAGACAGAUCCACACACUUGUUGAAGUCAAAGAAAUUGUGGCCAAUUAGUGGACAAGAACUGUUAACAGAACAUGGAUUCACUGCUCUUGCU